rnacentral:rRNA from 1 species
CACAGGUGGUCAGGUAGAGAAUACCGAGGCGAUCGGGCGAACUGUGGUUAAGGAACUCGGCAAAUUACCCCCGUAACUUCGGGAGAAGGGGGGCCACAGACUGUCAUACCCCACGCGGGUGGCAGCAGUAGGUGGCCGCAGAGACCAGGGGGAAGCGACUGUUUACUAAAAACACAGGUCCGUGCGAAGUCGUAGGACGAUGUAUACGGACUGACGCCUGCCCGGUGCUGGAACGUUAAGGGGACCGGUUAGUCCGCAAGGGCGAAGCUGAGAACUUAAGCGCCAGUAAACGGCGGUGGUAACUAUAACCAUCCUAAGGUAGCGAAAUUCCUUGUCGGGUAUUUCCGACCUGCACGAAUGGCGUAACGACUUCCCUACUGUCUCAACCACAGACCCGGCGAAAUUGCACUACGAGUAAAGAUGCUCGUUACGCGCGGAAGGACGGAAAGACCCCGGGACCUUCACUAUAGCUUGACAUUGGUAUCCGAAUUUAAUUGUGUAGGAUAGGUGGGAGGCUUUGAUCCGCGGACGCCAGUCCGUCGGGGAGCCAACGUUGAAAUACCACUCUGUUGAAUUUGGGUAUCUAACUUCGGACCGUGAUCCGGUUCAGGGACAGUGUCUGGUGGGUAGUUUAACUGGGGCGGUUGCCUCCUAAAAUGUAACGGAGGCGCCCAAAGGUUCCCUCAGCCUGGUUGGCAAUCAGGUGUUGAGUGCAAGUGCACAAGGGAGCUUGACUGUGAGACUGACAGGUCGAGCAGGGACGAAAGUCGGGACUAGUGAUCCGGCACCUGCGAGUGGAAGCGGUGUCGCUCAACGGAUAAAAGGUACCCCGGGGAUAACAGGCUGAUCUUCCCCAAGAGUCCAUAUCGACGGGAUGGUUUGGCACCUCGAUGUCGGCUCGUCGCAUCCUGGGGCUGGAGUAGGUCCCAAGGGUUGGGCUGUUCGCCCAUUAAAGCGGCACGCGAGCUGGGUUUAGAACGUCGUGAGACAGUUCGGUCCCUAUCCUCCGCGCGCGUAGGAGACUUGAGAAGAGCUGUCCCUAGUACGAGAGGACCGGGACGGACGAACCUCUGGUGUGCCAGUUGUCAUGCCAAUGGCACGGCUGGUUAGCUACGUUCGGAAGGGAUAACCGCUGAAAGCAUCUAAGCGGGAAGCUCGCUUCAAGAUGAGGUCUCCCACCCCUUCGAGGGUUAAGGCCCCCAGCUAGACCACUGGGUUGAUAGGCCAGAAGUGUAAGCCUGGUAACAGGUUCAGCCGACUGGUACUAAUAGGCCGAGGACUC